rnacentral:rRNA from 1 species
GACAGAGGUGCCGAGCGUUAGGCGGAAUCACUGGGCUUAAAGCGUGUGUAGGCGGACGGGUAAGUACCUUGUGAAAUCCCACGGCUCAACCGUGGAACUGCUGGGUAUACUGCCUGUCUUGAGUCAUCUAGGGGCGAGCGGAACAAAUGGUGGAGCGGUGAAAUGCGUAGAUAUCAUUUGGAACGCCAAUGGUGAAAACAGCUCGCUGGGGAUGAUACUGACGCUGAGACACGAAAGCCAGGGAGCAAACGGG